UUUCUAUCUGUGGGACUAGAAGCAAACCGCUUCUCCUCCCUCAGCCUCAGUUUUCACAACUGGGAAAGGGAGACAUUAGUCUCAUGGGACCUACCUCAGGGGAUUCCGGUAGGGCAGAUGCUUCGUCCACCUGAGAGCAUCGGAGGCCCGGGAGUUGUUAGAGAGCGGUCCCGUUUCCCGCAGCGGGCCCCCGCCCCGCGAGGGAAGUCUUCAGGGGGAUCAGCAGGAGCAAUGUCACUCAAGGUCAUUGCGGCAGAGAGGGGGAGGGGAUGGGCGAAGGGACUUAGCGGUAGAAUCCCAGCAGGUAAAAGAACAGGCUUGUUCCUCAGACCAUAAUAAUUAGAAUGUUGAUCCAUCCAUACAUUCAUCAAUACAAUAAUCUUUGAGCCAGGAAGGACCUUAGUCGUUAGUUUGUCCCCAUUUAUUUUAAAUGAUGGAGAAGACUGAGGUUCAGAGUGGGGGGCGAUGGAGCACCCAAGAUCAGACAGAGGGCACGUGGCAGAGCAGAAGCUGGAACGGAGGCCGAUGCUCCUUCCACUGCACCGCACUGCUCCGCUCGCUCUUGGGGAUCUUCUUCGAGGAUUCCCCAUUUAAUGAGCCAGGGCUAGAAGGGGAGGUGGGGAGACGCGGCCAGCUUCGGGCCACCCGUGGGUGUGCUAGAAUUGCCACGUCUCCCCUGCUUCCUGUUUUCCAAGGUGGGCCCCUCUAUCCACCUGCACCCUGAGCCACCUACAGUCCGGGUUCCUUUCGGAGAAGAGAGACUCUGGCUCUCUUCUCUCCCGGUGGCACGACGUCAUCGAUUACAGCUUUUGGGCAACCCAUUCGGCUGACCCGAUGCACAGCGGCCCACGGUCACGUGCUCCGAUAACCAUUGUGAUAUAGCUGCUCCUCUCCUCGUUCCUGCCGUCCUGGAGCUCAAGAGCCCUGAGACGGGGGUUUGAGGAGAGGCUUCCCAGGACAGCCUCCCCCUCCCCAGCUCUCCUUUUCUUUCCUCCAUUUUCCCUGAAGGUCCCAGAAUCACAGAAGGAUCGUGUUGACUUAGAUACUGGGCCAUCAGGGAAGGUUUUUCUCAGAAUUUCAGUGGGGCUUCCAUGACCCCCCCACCACCCCAGUUUCUCACCAGCAGCUGUCGAAAUCAGGGCAUCUGAAACUUUUUCCCCCAUGACCCCUUUCCCCCCCAAAAAAAAUUCGUAUACAACCCCGAGUUUAUUGGGCUACAAAGCCAACAUUUCCCGAUGAUGAGAAAUCACAAUUUUGCGACCCCACCACGUUUAGGUACAAGACCCCGUACGGGGACACGAACCCCAGCUGAAGAAGCCGGGGUCCGAACAAACCCAGACACUUCCCUUCCUUCCAUUGGGUCUCAUCUGCUUCUGAUUUCAGGCUUAUGGGAGAAACCUCCCGUUUCUCGUUAGUGGCCGCUUGGGGCCCUCUCUCCGGCCCCUAUCUAUCUAUGCAUUUCUCUGGCACCUUCACUAGGAGGGAGGUCUUGUUUUACUUACUGGGGAUGGGGUGGGGGGGAGGGAGGAUGGGGGGCUUUGCAUAGGGAGGGGGGGGGGGGGGAAACUUUAAGGCAGUGAUAACUUCUGGACCUCGCACCUUCAACGGUCCGAAGUAACAAUACGAAAAGCUAAUCAGUAACAUUUCUAUCGAGUUGAUUUCUAUCCACUAGAUGUAUUUUAGGAUUUGGGUUUUCCUUUCUUCUUCUUUUUCUUGUUUUUUUUUUUUUUAAGCAAAGUGCAUAUUUUGAAUUUGGUAUUGUAACGAUGAAGGCUUUACUUUUAAUGCUGCUUUUUUGAGUUUGGGGGUAAAGGGGUAGGAGAAGAGGGGGGAGGGGGGCACAAAGCCAAGGUAAUCGUGGGAAGCACCGUUGGGUUAAGUCUUGUCGGGAGAGUUUGGGGUGGAGUUGGCUGCCCUUGGGGUGGGGGGGGGGAAGAGGGAAGGGAGAGGGGGGGGAGAGGGGUUUUUUUUUUUGCUUUUGCUUCUUAAAGAGCCCUUAGAAAAUCUGCGAACGAACGAGGCAGCUUUAAUUCCGAAAGUGUGUAAAUAUGCACUAGUUUAUAAAUUAUAUCAUCCUCUCUAGUAGCCAUAAAAUCUCAAAUUAAAAAAAAAAUGUGAUUCUGUGUGCAAGCGCGUGAAUGUGUGUGUCGAAGGAGUUUAUUUAAAAUGUCUGCCUUCUUACUGCCAAUGCUUUCCGAAGGAGGGAGUUGGGCGGCGGGCUGACCCCUGACACCUGUUCCCGUCCCAAGCCGUCCUUCACUAUCUCUAGUCUUAACUGUCCUGUUCUAUCCUGAUAACAGCCAAUAAAAGCUUUCUCUAGC
rnacentral:lncRNA from 1 species